rnacentral:rRNA from 1 species
AUGGCUAGAAACAUAACAGAGCAAGACGACUCACGUACGCGUCACUCGGCGAGGCUGGCGAGCUUCUUGGGCUCCAUGAAGUGGGAGAGGACGGAGACGGCGAUGUCGAUGCGCUUCACGGCGAGCGAUCCUGCACGCGCAGUACAUGUAGUCGAGCGACUUGCCCACGUCGCCGCCGCCGCCUCUGGCUGCCUGACGGGGCUUGCUGGAGCCGGACUUGGCGGUGGCGGUGGUGUCCGGGUCGUCGGAGAGGUCGACCUUGGCAAGGGCCUCAGUGGCGGCCACAACCGGGUCCGGGUCGUCCCUGUCGGGGCUGCUGUCCGGCGAGGAGGUGGAGGAGUCGGGGGUCUUUCCGGGGACGGGGGCCUUGCCUCUGGCGAGGCACUCAGCGCGGCGCGGGAUGAGGUGCUCCUCCAACAACUUGAUGGCCAGGACGGCGGCCAUGACGCGGUCGAGGGCAUGGGCCUGGGAUCUGGGGCGGACCAGGAACUGUUGCGCGAGCAUCGCAUCGUGGCGUGGGCGUCGGCGUACGCGUCAGAGGUUGGAGGCGAGCUCGCCGAGAGUGGCGUCCGCGUCCGCAGGGGUGGCGGUGGGGGCGCCGUCGUCGGCUGGAGGUCCUGCAUGCGGUGCUGGAGUUGCAGGAGGCGGUCGCGGGUGUCCUGCGGGUUGAAAACAAGUAAUGGCAGGGGGCAAAAUGCAAAACGUUCGGUGUUGCGCAGCUCGGCCGAGCUGGCUCCACUUGGCAGCUGUUGA